rnacentral:rRNA from 1 species
UACAGAGGUCUCAAGCGUUGUUCGGAUUCAUUGGGCGUAAAGGGUGUGUAGGUGGCGCGCUAAGUCGGGUGUGAAAUUUCGGAGCUUAACUCCGAAACUGCAUUCGAUACUGGCGUGCUUGAGGACUGGAGAGGAGACUGGAAUUCAUGGUGUAGCAGUGAAAUGCGUAGAGAUCAUGAGGAAGACCAGUGGCGAAGGCGGGUCUCUGGGCCGACACUGACGCUGAUGCGCGAAAGCCAGGGGAGCGAACGGG